rnacentral:rRNA from 1 species
AUUGAACGCUGGCGGCAGGCCUAACACAUGCAAGUAGAACGAGUGGCGGACGGGUGAGUAAUGUCUGGGAAAAUGCCCGAAGGAGGGGGAUAACUACUGGAAACGGUAGCUAAUACCGCAUACCAUCGGAUGUGCCCAGAUGGGAUUAGCUAGUAGGUGGGGUAACGGCUCACCUAGGCGACGAUCCCUAGCUGGUCUGAGAGGAUGACCAACCACACUGGAACGUAGACACGGUCCAUACUCCGACGUGAGGCAGCAGGGGGGAAGAUUGCACAAUGGGCGCAUUCCUGAUGCAGCCAUGCCGCUUGUAUGAAGAAGGCCUUCGGGUUGUAAAGUACUUUCGGCGAGGAGGCGUUACUCGCAGAAGAAGCACCGGCUAACUCCGUGCCAGCAGCCGCGGUAAUUC